rnacentral:rRNA from 1 species
ACGCUGGCGGCGUGCCUAAUACAUGCAAGUAGAACGCUGAAGCUUGGUGCUUGCACCGAGCGGAGGAGUUGCGAACGGGUGAGCAACGCGUAGGUAACCUGCCUCUUAGCGGGGGAUAACUAUUGGAAACGAUAGCUAAUACCGCAUAAAAGUCGAUAUCGCAUGAUAUUGAUUUGAAAGGUGCAAUUGCAUCACUAAGAGAUGGACCUGCGUUGUAUUAGCUAGUUGGUGAGGUAACGGCUCACCAAGGCGACGAUACAUAGCCGACCUGAGAGGGUGAUCGGCCACACUGGGACUGAGACACGGCCCAGACUCCUACGGGAGGCAGCAGUAGGGAAUCUUCGGCAAUGGGGGCAACCCUGACCGAGCAACGCCGCGUGAGUGAAGAAGGUUUUCGGAUCGUAAAGCUCUGUUGUAAGAGAAGAACGAGUGUGAGAGUGGAAAGUUCACACUGUGACGGUAACUUACCAGAAAGGGACGGCUAACUACGUGCCAGCAGCCGCGGUAAUACGUAGGUCCCGAGCGUUAUCCGGAUUUAUUGGGCGUAAAGCGAGCGCAGGCGGUUAGAUAAGUCUGAAGUUAAAGGCUGUGGCUUAACCAUAGUACGCUUUGGAAACUGUUUAACUUGAGUGCAGAAGGGGAGAGUGGAAUUCCAUGUGUAGCGGUGAAAUGCGUAGAUAUAUGGAGGAACACCGGUGGCGAAAGCGGCUCUCUGGUCUGUAACUGACGCUGAGGCUCGAAAGCGUGGGGAGCAAACAGGAUUAGAUACCCUGGUAGUCCACGCCGUAAACGAUGAGUGCUAGGUGUUGGGUCCUUUCCGGGACUCAGUGCCGCAGCUAACGCAUUAAGCACUCCGCCUGGGGAGUACGACCGCAAGGUUGAAACUCAAAGGAAUUGACGGGGGCCCGCACAAGCGGUGG